rnacentral:rRNA from 1 species
GGCGUGUACUGCUUGGCUGGGCCUUACUUCUUGGUGAGCCGGCGUGCCCUUUAUUGGUGUGCGUCGGGGAACCAGGACUUUUACCUUGAGAAAAUUAGAGUGUUCAAAGCACGCCUAUGCCUGAAUACAUUAGCAUGGAAUAAUAGAAUAGGACGUGCGGUUCUAUUUUGUUGGUUUCUAGAGUCGCCGUAAUGAUUAAUAGGGACAGUUGGGGGCAUUGGUAUUGAGUCGCUAGAGGUGAAAUUCUUGGAUUGACUCAAGACCGACUAUUGCGAAAGCAUUUGCCAAGGAUGUUUUCAUUAAUCAAGAACGAAGGUUAGGGGAUCGAAAACGAUCAGAUACCGUUGUAGUCUUAACAGUAAACUAUGCCGACUAGGGAUCGGAUGACCUCAAAAUUGAUGUGUCAUUCGGCACCUUACGAGAAAUCAAAGUCUUUUGGGUUCUGGGGGGAGUAUGGUCGCAAGGCUGAAACUUAAAGGAAUUGACGGAAGGGCACCACCAGGUGUGGAGCCUGCGGCUUAAUUUGACUCAACACGGGGAAACUCACCAGGUCCAGACAUAACUAGGAUUGACAGAUUGAUAGCUCUUUCAUGAUUUUAUGGGUGGUGGUGCAUGGCCGUUCUUAGUUGGUGGAGUGAUUUGUCUGGUUAAUUCCGAUAACGAACGAGACCUUAACCUGCUAAAUAGCCAGGCCGGCUUCGGCUGGUCUCUGGCUUCUUAGAGGGACUGUCAG